rnacentral:rRNA from 1 species
GGUGAACGCUAGCGACAGGCUUAACACAUGCAAGUCGAGGGGCAGCACGGUGUAGUAAUACAUUGGUGGCGACCGGCGCACGGGUGAGUAACGCGUAUGCAACCUACCUAUCAGAGGGGAAUAACCCGGCGAAAGUCGGACUAAUACCGCAUAAAACAGGGGUUCCACAUGGAAAUAUUUGUUAAAGAUUUAUCGCUGAUAGAUGGGCAUGCGUUCCAUUAGAUAGUUGGUGAGGUAACGGCUCACCAAGUCUACGAUGGAUAGGGGUUCUGAGAGGAAGGUCCCCCACACUGGUACUGAGACACGGACCAG